rnacentral:lncRNA from 1 species
ACCAGGUCUCCCACAUUGCAGGCAGAUUCUUUACCAUCUGAGUCACCAGGAAAACUUCAGCUUCCUUUAAUUAACAGUAAUCUUUGGAAGCUCUAAUACCUAGUUUAUGUUGCAAAAACUUUUAUACAUACUGGCUCCUCCCUUACCUCUUGGGAAGAGCUCCUCAGAGCUUAUCCGAGAAGCUAUCUUCAGGGCUUAAGUCCUCAGAAAGUCCACUGAAUAAAACAUAAUUCUCAUUGGACAUGGGUGUAUUUUUUUUUUUCAGUCAACAGAGAAAUAAGAAAAAGGAAAGCAUUUAGAAUCUGUAGCAAAACAUAUUGAUAACUAAGACAUAUGCAGACCUUACUGAAUUAAUCUUGAUCUUGUGCUUAGCCAUUCGGUUGUGUCUGACUCUUUGCAACCCCAUGGAGUAUGUGUGUUUUGACAUAUUCGAUGAGACUCAAGAAACUAAACCCACUUCUCAAGCAUUCUGUAGGCCCCUCUGGAGAGUUUUUCCCCAAGAACUACCCUUCUCUAUUUGGCCCCUAACGCCUUGACUUUGUGCUUUUAUUCUUUCGCUCACCUCAACAGAUACAUUCAUUUGGGCUGAAUUGGUCGACAUUUUGAAAUUGAAAAUACUUGAUAAACCAAAUGUGGUGUAGCCAUACAAUGGAAUAUUGUUUGGUUAUAAAAAGAAUGAGGUACUUAUACAUGUGACAACUUAGAUGAACCUUGAAAACACUAGGCUAAGUGAAAGAAACUAGUCAUCAAAGUCUAUAUGAUUUCAUGUAUGAUUCUAGUCAUAGAAUCAUGAAAAACAGUCCAAAGUAGUUCACUCUGAAAUGGAGCAAGACCCCAUGGUCCUUGAGUGCCCACUCCCCCCAUCCCCUGCCCACCCCCACGAUGUCCUCUGCCUGCCUUUUGUCUGUAGAAAACUUCAGUCAAAGAAUAAGUUUAAUUAGAGAAGUGAGAAAUNNNNNNNNNNNNNNNNNNNNNNNNNNNNGAGUAAAAAUAAUAAUGUAGCCAUUUUAAGCACAGUCAAGGACCUUUAUUUCUUUCUCAAGGGCUUUAUAUAAUAUUGUGAGCUGUAUCCUGUGAGCUGUCUUACAGACACUAAAACACCAGGUAGAGAAGCUAACCACAUGAUGACCAGACUGUACCCGGACAUGAGCUGCCACAGAAUUGACUGCAAAGAAACGGGAACAAAUGGACCCUGAAACUAAAUAUUAACUGCACCAGUCUUGGUGACAAUCAAGAUGAUGCUGGUCAGAUCACUGAGGACCAGAUGAAGAUGACUGUUACAGAGGACUAUGCUGUUUCUG